CAAUCAAACACACCCACAUGCUAGGUGCUAACAUGCGAAUGCUGGAUGCUUGCAGAAAAACUUUCACCUUCAGUGAGGUGUGUGAAUCUUUGUACUGCUGGGAUCAACUCAACAUGUUUGAAAACUUUGGACUACUUAUUGGCGAUUCAAAAUGAACGAGCAGAGAAGUUGAACCUGGAGCAGAUUGAGCAGAUUGAAUAGACUAGACUCACAGAACGAUUUCAUAUGGUGUGCAGUGGUGUCCCUGUGAUCCCAGCGUUAACUUUACAUGUUUCCGUACAUACCUGCUGAGACAAAUCUUCUGGUAGAGCACCAACGUCCACUGCAGGGGCCAACACAGCGCGUUCUCAAACCAGCCCUGACAGCGAAACACGGGGGACAGGCAGACGGCCGCCGUCACAUAGCUGGAUGAUCCACACUCCCCCAGGUAAGAGAGGAGAAGGCCCGACCCGGUGCUCUCGCUAACUGCAUACAGUUUCCCUGCAGGCUGUCGGUGGCGAAUGUAGCGCACUGCCUCGCGCAGAUCUGCCGGGUCCCCGAACUGCUGCAGCUUG